rnacentral:lncRNA from 1 species
UCGUGCUUCACCCCCGGUUUUCGUCACGCGAGUUUUAAAAGUUUCGGAUUAUUUUGUGCGAAUAAAGGUGCGAAAAAUGGGCAGUGAAGUGAUUAGAAGAAGCAUAAAGUUAGCAUCGAUGUUGGAUACUCACAUAAAUGCGGAGAAAUUUUUAACUAAAUAUCUAACGUUUCGCUCGAUGCCAACUAUCUGCUUUUCACACGUUUUUUGUGCGAAUGUUCUGAUACAAUAUUGGGAGUAUUGUAUUAGUUAGAUACUUUGGUACCGACGCGCGUUUACUCCGGAUUGCCGGAGAAAUAAUUGAAACGUGACGUGCGGUUGGACACGAGGAGGAGGAUGUGGGUGGACACAUCCAAAAUCUCCUCUCUCAUCUCCACAAUCGUAAGUGACUCUCUAUUUUUAUAAAAGCAACUCAUAUAUCGAACUCGCGAUUUAGCUAAUUUUUAAUAAUAAAUUAUAGUAAGAAAUGCACGUCAAAGAGUCACUGCGGUGAUGAAUCCGCUCACGCAAAUUCGAAGGCGACACGCGGAGGACGAGGCAGAAGCAGGUCCAGCGCGUAAGCAAUAUUAUUAAAAACUAGACAGGAGUAAAAAUACAAUUUUCCAAGAUUAAAAUAUUAAAUGCUUUUAGAAAGGUCGUAUUGAACGCAGGAAUUAGAGGAGGAGGCGCCAGAAAUUAUUCAGCUUUCAUUUGAUACGGCAGUAAGUACUCCCGAUCAGCGAGUGUUUUCGCCCGAAUACGACCAUAUGUACUCCCCCGUAAUCCCGGAAGAGAGAAUUUGGAGCGAUGAAGAAGGGGAAGAAGAAGAA